rnacentral:rRNA from 1 species
CUACGUGCCAGCAGCCGCGGUAAUACGUAGGGUGCGAGCGUUAAUCGGAAUUACUGGGCGUAAAGCGAGCGCAGACGGUUACUUAAGCAGGAUGUGAAAUCCCCGGGCUCAACCUGGGAACUGCGUUCUGAACUGGGUGACUAGAGUGUGUCAGAGGGAGGUAGAAUUCCACGUGUAGCAGUGAAAUGCGUAGAGAUGUGGAGGAAUACCGAUGGCGAAGGCAGCCUCCUGGGAUAACACUGACGUUCAUGCUCGAAAGCGUGGGUAGCAAACAGGAUUAGAUACCCUGGUAGUCCACGCCCUAAACGAUGUCAAUUAGCUGUUGGGCAACUUGAUUGCUUAGUAGCGUAGCUAACGCGUGAAAUUGACCGCCUGGGGAGUACGGUCGCAAGAUUAAAACUCAAAGGAAUUGACGGGGACCCGCACAAGCGGUGGAUGAUGUGGAUUAAUUCGAUGCAACGCGAAGAACCUUACCG